GAUGAACGCUGGCGGCGUGCCUAAUACAUGCAAGUCGAGCGAACAGACGCGGAGCUUGCUCCUCUGACGUUAGCGGCGGACGGGUGAGUAACACGUGGAUAACCUACCUAUAAGACUGGGAUAACUUCGGGAAACCGGAGCUAAUACCGGAUAAUAUCUUGAACCGCAUGGUUCAAUAGUGAAAGACGGUUUUGCUGUCACUUCUAGAUGGAUCCGCGCCGCAUUAGCUAGUUGGUAAGGUAACGGCUUACCAAGGCAACGAUGCGUAGCCGACCUGAGAGGGUGAUCGGCCACACUGGAACUGAGACACGGUCCAGACUCCUACGGGAGGCAGCAGUAGGGAAUCUUCCGCAAUGGGCGAAAGCCUGACGGAGCAACGCCGCGUGAGUGAUGAAGGUCUUCGGAUCGUAAAACUCUGUUAUUAGGGAAGAACAAAUGUGUAAGUAACUAUGCACGUCUUGACGGUACCUAAUCAGAAAGCCACGGCUAACUACGUG
rnacentral:rRNA from 1 species